UACUCUAUUCUCUGAGGGACAGUAAGUAAUUUCUUUUAAGAAUUUGGGGUUAGGGUUUCGAAUUUUCAAUUUGGCUUGUUUCAAAUUGUUGCCUUCAAUUUGGGUUUCACUUUUUGGGUUUCUUUUAGAUCUGGAGAUGAACAUCACUGCUUUGGCAUUCUAAUUCUCUUUUUGGGUUUUGACCUCUAUCAGGAUCUGUUUCUAGGUAUAUAUAGAGUCAUUGUUUACCAAAUUUUCACCAUGGGGGGAGCUCGUUCUAGGAAGAGAAACCAUCGAGAUGAUGAAGAUAGUUUUCGUAGAGGGAUUUCCAGAAGGAUACAUUGAAUGAGGAGGAAAAAGGGAGGGGGUUUCUCGGGUACAUUGAUCUAUAAAUCUGGAAGAAGAAGAGGUGGAGAAGAAGACCCAGCAGCAACAAUAACCACAACAACAACGAGGUUACUAGGAACAGCAGCAAAAGAAGAUCAUCGUCCAAAUCCUAUGCUCCUCUGCUCGAGUUGGUCUGUUUGUCAAGGGAGGAAUCCAAGUUCUAAUAACAACCAAUCUUGGUCGAAAUCUACAAGGGGUUCUAAAAGUGGGUGUUGAAGAAAAUCGAAUGUCAAUGCUAUAGGAUAUCGUUACUGUUUUGUUGAACUUCAAGUGUGUUUUGU